rnacentral:rRNA from 1 species
CGACUUGGAGGUUGUUCCCUUGAGGAGUGGCUUCCGGAGCUAACGCGUUAAGUCGACCGCCUGGGGAGUACGGCCGCAAGGUUAAAACUCAAAUGAAUUGACGGGGGCCCGCACAAGCGGUGGAGCAUGUGGUUUAAUUCGAUGCAACGCGAAGAACCUUACCUACUCUUGACAUCCAGAGAACUUAGCAGAGAUGCUUUGGUGCCUUCGGGAACUCUGAGACAGGUGCUGCAUGGCUGUCGUCAGCUCGUGUUGUGAAAUGUUGGGUUAAGUCCCGCAACGAGCGCAACCCUUAUCCUUUGUUGCCAGCGAUUCGGUCGGGAACUCAAAGGAGACUGCCGGUGAUAAACCGGAGGAAGGUGGGGAUGACGUCAAGUCAUCAUGGCCCUUACGAGUAGGGCUACACACGUGCUACAAUGGCGCAUACAAAGAGAAGCGACCUCGCGAGAGCAAGCGGACCUCAUAAAGUGCGUCGUAGUCCGGAUCGGAGUCUGCAACUCGACUCCGUGAAGUCGGAAUCGCUAGUAAUCGUGGAUCAGAAUGCCACGGUGAAUACGUUCCCGGGCCUUGUACACACCGCCCGUCACACCAUGGGAGUGGGUUGCAAAAGAAGUAGGUAGCUUAACCUUCGGGAGGGCGCUUACCACUUUGUGAUUCAUGACUGGGGUGAAGUCGUAACAAGGUACC